rnacentral:rRNA from 2 species
CUCUGGUAUUGAUUGGUGCUUGCAUCAUGAUUUACAUUUGAGUGAGUGGCGAACUGGUGAGUAACACGUGGGAAACCUGCCCAGAAGCGGGGGAUAACACCUGGAAACAGAUGCUAAUACCGCAUAACAACUUGGACCGCAUGGUCCGAGCUUGAAAGAUGGCUUCGGCUAUCACUUUUGGAUGGUCCCGCGGCGUAUUAGCUAGAUGGUGGGGUAACGGCUCACCAUGGCAAUGAUACGUAGCCGACCUGAGAGGGUAAUCGGCCACAUUGGGACUGAGACACGGCCCAAACUCCUACGGGAGGCAGCAGUAGGGAAUCUUCCACAAUGGACGAAAGUCUGAUGGAGCAACGCCGCGUGAGUGAAGAAGGGUUUCGGCUCGUAAAACUCUGUUGUUAAAGAAGAACAUAUCUGAGAGUAACUGUUCAGGUAUUGACGGUAUUUAACCAGAAAGCCACGGCUAACUACGUGCCAGCAGCCGCGGUAAUACGUAGGUGGCAAGCGUUGUCCGGAUUUAUUGGGCGUAAAGCGAGCGCAGGCGGUUUUUUAAGUCUGAUGUGAAAGCCUUCGGCUCAACCGAAGAAGUGCAUCGGAAACUGGGAAACUUGAGUGCAGAAGAGGACAGUGGAACUCCAUGUGUAGCGGUGAAAUGCGUAGAUAUAUGGAAGAACACCAGUGGCGAAGGCGGCUGUCUGGUCUGUAACUGACGCUGAGGCUCGAAAGUAUGGGUAGCAAACAGGAUUAGAUACCCUGGUAGUCCAUACCGUAAACGAUGAAUGCUAAGUGUUGGAGGGUUUCCGCCCUUCAGUGCUGCAGCUAACGCAUUAAGCAUUCCGCCUGGGGAGUACGGCCGCAAGGCUGAAACUCAAAGGAAUUGACGGGGGCCCGCACAAGCGGUGGAGCAUGUGGUUUAAUUCGAAGCUACGCGAAGAACCUUACCAGGUCUUGACAUACUAUGCAAAUCUAAGAGAUUAGACGUUCCCUUCGGGGACAUGGAUACAGGUGGUGCAUGGUUGUCGUCAGCUCGUGUCGUGAGAUGUUGGGUUAAGUCCCGCAACGAGCGCAACCCUUAUUAUCAGUUGCCAGCAUUAAGUUGGGCACUCUGGUGAGACUGCCGGUGACAAACCGGAGGAAGGUGGGGAUGACGUCAAAUCAUCAUGCCCCUUAUGACCUGGGCUACACACGUGCUACAAUGGAUGGUACAACGAGUUGCGAACUCGCGAGAGUAAGCUAAUCUCUUAAAGCCAUUCUCAGUUCGGAUUGUAGGCUGCAACUCGCCUACAUGAAGUCGGAAUCGCUAGUAAUCGCGGAUCAGCAUGCCGCGGUGAAUACGUUCCCGGGCCUUGUACACACCGCCCGUCACACCAUGAGAG